CAAGUACCGUAAGGGAAAGUUGAAAAGAACUUUGAAGAGAGAGUUCAAGAGGGCAUGAAACCGUUAAGAGGGAAAACUCCCAUGUUUCUGCCUUGAG